GUUUUAAAUAUCAAAAUUUGAUUGGGCCUUGGUGUUUGCUUUACAAUACCUUUUUGCUGUUUCUCAGCAGGUUUCCAGUUGGUCAGUAUUACAUUGUGUGUCUGUGUGGCUCUGCUGCUGAUUGGUGGAUUGGUAGUGGUACUACUAAUGAGGUACAAGAAGAGACAAGGUUCAAUGCUAGCCUCAUCUUCAUCUAGGAUGGAGUUAAAGGACAGUAAAAGAGUUCUUCUUGGGUUGUGGAAGAAAGAGAAGAUAGAAGAUAGAACACAGGAUGCUGAGAAAGAUCUAACGGAGCCCACGUACAUCACUGU
rnacentral:lncRNA from 1 species